AUUUGUAGAUUAAUCUAUUUUAUGAUCAAAUUUAAUUGAAUGACAGUGUAAAAACAUUUACUAUAUAUUAUGAACAGAUAGUACUUCAAUUCAUAUAUCAUACGGAGUAUUCUAUUAUUCAUGUUAGAGUUGCAUGAAAAGACUUUUUUGGUCUUAAUGUUAUGGUUUUCAAGAAAGAUGGUCCGAUAAUUUAGAGUUUGAAGCAGGGAUUGAUGUCAAUUUGAUCGGUAAAUUGAAAUACUCGUGGGGAUUGUUCCGUUUGAGAAUUUGAAGGCUGAGAAUUUUUUUCGUGGUAAUGGGGAUGAAGGAAACAAGUUCCCCCGAAAGAGGUUUUGGGAUGAGUAGGAAAUUUUAUCCCCCAUCCCUAAACACUUUAUUAAAAUAAUACAUAUUCAUAUACUUUUUAUAUUAUAUUUAUUUAUAUUUUCACAAAAUAUGUGUAUAAAUUUGUUUACAUGAAAUAUUUAUUAUUGUCACAAGACUCACAUUAAUGCCUUUAAUUUUUUUAUUUGUUUUUUUGAAUAAAUUUUAUUUUACUUUUACAAUUAAUUUGAUUGAAAAUAAUAAAAAUUUGAUAUUAUUUUUAAUGUUGACGGAUCCUCGCAAAAAUUGUGGCGUUCCAAGAAAAUGAGGAUGAAAGAAAAUAAUCUUGCGAAUGGUAAAUGAUAAUUGAAAACAUUUUAGAUGGCGGAAAAGGAAGUGAUAAAAUACUCUCAGUUUAAUAUCUUUGAUAUCACUAUUUGUAGGUCAAUCAUUUUAGAUUAUAAAAAGGAUCUAAUGUGAGAACAAAAUAUUAGUCAGAAAGUGGUUAAAGGAAAGAGCAAGACUUUCAUAUAUUGUCACAUGAUCAUUGAUGAAUCCUCAUCUUUACAUGUUAGUUUGAGCAAUUUAAGACAAAAUCUAGGAAAUAAUGUAAGAAACUUGAUCACAAAUAGUAGAAAGACAGAUGAUUUGAAGUGUUUCACAAGAAAGAAAGAUGUUUUGAUCAUGUAGCUGCGCAUGCGCAGGAAGGCCUGUGCAUGGCGCAAUUCAGGCCAUUAGGGAGAUCAUUUUUAUGUGACCUACCCAUGGCGCAGGGGGUAGCUGCGCAUGGCGCAAUGCAAUUCGAAAGGAUGUUAAUAUUCUCUGUUGUCUGUGCAUAGCACAGAGGUCACUGCGCAUGGCGCAAUUCAAGCUUUGCAAAGACAUUCUCUGUUGACUGCGCAUGGCGCAUGUGAGGCUGCGCAUGGCACAACAGAGUUGCAGUAUUUAAGGAAAAUCAGUUUUCUGGAGCCAUGUUUGAAUAUUUUUAAGGAAGAACGCAUUUGAAGGCUUGGAUCUACUUUUCCUCAACUAGAUUCGUCCAGAUUCACUCAAUUCUUGAUGGAUAUGGAUUUCUCUUCAUCUUUUCCAUUGGAUUUCUCAGCUGAUAUGUGGAACUAAGAUCCAUAUGAUUGGAAUUCAUAGGUGAAUUCGUUUCAUUCAUUAUGAUGUAAUUGUUUGUAUUUGAAUGAAUUGAAUCAAAUUUUCUCAACCAAUUGUUCCUUAUGCUUAUUGCUUUACAAUAUUUAUUGGCCAUUUAUGUGAUGAUCUUGAUGAUUGAUUUGCUAUGAGAGUAGAAAUUAAUUGUGGACUGGGAACUAUUGGACAAUUGUUGAUACUUUAGAGAUUUUGUGUUAUCAAUUGUGAUAUGCAGAAUUUAAGUGCUUAAAACCUCAAUUAAUCACAAUUCAAUUAGGGAUGUGUGAUCAAUUGAGAGAAUUGUGAUCCAAAAUAUUGGACUCAAUUAGUUUGUUAAUUUUAUCUUGAGAAGAAUUGGUCAAUUUACUUGUGUAUGAAUAUUACAUUGUUAUAA